CCAGUCUAUACUGUGGAAAGGUCUACGGUAAGACCAGUCUAUACUGUGGAAAGGUCUACGGUAGGACCAGUCUAUACUGUGGAAAGGUCUACGGUAAGACCAGUCUAUACUGUGGAAAGGUCUACGGUAAGACCAGUCUAUACUGUGGAAAGGUCUACGGUAAGACCAGUCUAUACUGUGGAAAGGUCUACGGUAGGACCAGUCUAUACUGUGGAAAGGUCUACGGUAAGACCAGUCUAUACUGUGGAAAGGUCUACGGUAAGACCAGUCUAUACUGUGGAAAGGUCUACGGUAAGACCAGUCUAUACUGUGGAAAGGUCUACGGUAGGACCAGUCUAUACUGUGGAAAGGUCUACGGUAAGACCAGUCUAUACUGUGGAAAGGUCUACGGUAAGACCAGUCUAUACUGUGGAAAGGUCUACGGUAGGACCAGUCUAUACUGUGGAAAGGUCUACGGUAAGACCAGUCUAUACUGUGGAAAGGUCUACGGUAAGACCAGUCUAUACUGUGGAAAGGUCUACGGUAGGACCAGUCUAUACUGUGGAAAGGUCUACGGUAAGACCAGUCUAUACUGUGGAAAGGUCUACGGUAAGACCAGUCUAUACUGUGGAAAGGUCUACGGUAGGACCAGUCUAUACUGUGGAAAGGUCUACGGUAAGACCAGUCUAUACUGUGGAAAGGUCUACGGUAAGACCAGUCUAUACUGUGGAAAGGUCUACGGUAGGACCUUUCCACAGUAUAGGGGGCCGGAACAUAAUUGUAAAUCAUUUGUAGACCGCAAAUUGACCACAAGAAGCCCAAACAGACUAAAACAUAAUCAUUUCAAACCUUGCUUACAUUUGUAAAUGAUGACGCAUCUCACCAUUAUGCGUGGGAAUACUUGGAAACAGAUUUCCAAAAUUUAAAAUCACUUGGAGCUGAUUUCCUUGUGUUUUUACAGUCUUUUAUGUCCAGCAAUGCAGAUAAAAUAUAAAUCCACUGCCAGUUGGUAGAAAAGAGACUUCCUAGUUUAUACUGUAGAAAAUAGAGAUUUACCAGUUUAUACUGUAGAAAAUAGAGAUUUAUCAGUUUAUACUGUAGAAAAUAGAGAUUUAUUAGUUUAUACUAUAGAAAAUAGAGAUUUACCAGUUUAUACUGUAGAAAAUAGAGAUUUACCCGUUUAUACUGUAGAAAAUAGAGAUUUACCCGUUUAUACUGUAGAAAAUAGAGAUUUACCAGUUUAUUUACCAGUUUAUACUGUA